rnacentral:rRNA from 1 species
GACGAACGCUGGCGGCGUGCUUAACACAUGCAAGUCGAACGGAAAGGCCCUGCUUUUGUGGGGUUCUCGAUUGGCGCACAGGUGAGUAACACGUGUGUAACCUGCACUUGUCUUUGGGGUAACUUCAGGAAACUCGGGCUCAUACCGCAUAGGAUCUCCUGCUCCAUGGUGGGGGUUGGAAAGUUUCGGCGGUUGGGGAUGGACUCGCGGCUUAUCAGCUUCUUGGUGUGGUAGUGGCUUACCAAGGCUUUGACGGGUAGCCGGCCUAAGAGGGUGACCGGGCACAUUGGGACUGAGAGACGGCGCAGACUGGUACGGGAGGCAGUAGGGGGGAAUAUUGCAGAAUGGGCGGAAGCCAGAUGCAGCAACGCCGCGUGCGGGAUGACGGCCUUCGGGUGGUAAACCGCUGUGGCCGGUGACGAAGCGGGAGUGACGGUAAUGGGUAAAGAAGCACCGGCUAACUACGUG